rnacentral:tRNA from 1 species
GUUCCCGUAGCUCAGCUGGAUAGAGCGCUAGCCUCCGAAGCUAGAGGUCACAAGUUCGAAUCUUGUCGGGGACA